UUACAGCUCUUUGGUAGCAGAUGCUCUGGUUCCGUUCCUCUCUUCGUUCAGUUUAAUGUCCAAGUCCCGGAGCUGGCUGAGGAACCCUGAAUUUGGGCAGAUGUCUCUGUGAGCACUCACUGUUUUCAGAGCAUCCACGAUUGUCAUGUUUUCAUGGAUCAUUAAGAACGCAAGCACUAAAGAUGCUGAGCGGCUCACCCCCAUGGCACAAUGAACAAACACCUUACCUGCCAAAACAAAAGAGGCAGAGCAGGUGAAUACCCCUGAACACUCAGCUAUACUGGUAUGCUUGCAUCUGUCUGUCUCAGUCUCUCCUCUGGGAGCUGUUCUACUUUGUAUAAAUAAUGUGAUAGCUGUUUGCCUCCAGAGAGAGGCUGUUUCUCUCAUAUGAGGGUUAUGGUCUUUACCUGGGAUGUGAGAAAAAACGCUCUCAAUUCUGGGAAAUUAUAGAGCUGAAAGUUCUGGCUUUGUUGCCCUGUUGAGAAUCCGAUCUAGGACCCCAUACAGCUUUGUUCCCAUACAGAUCAUGCAGUAGAAGAUGAGUAUCCCUUUUGCAAUGUUGUAUGUUGGUUUAGAUCCAGGAAGCUUGGACUAGUCAGUCCAGCUUAAAGCAGAGCUUCAGUCAAGAGCAAGAGUUCAAUGAUAUCUAAGUGGUCCCUUCCCUGAGACUUUACGAGCAUUUCUCAUUAUCCUGAGUUGCUGUUCUCACCCCCAGAGAAUACUGAUAAACUUUGUUUGGUUGCUUGUUGGUAUUAAGGCUAUAAUAGAACUCUUCCCAAAGCAAGGUGGCCAGUUUAUUCUGACAUGGCAUCAACUUUCACUGUAGCGCCUGAAUGCCUACAUCUAGAGUUUGGCUUUAUUUUCCCAGCAAUUCUAGAAAACAAGUGCAGAUGGGACCUUCAGAAGUCAUCUAGUCUGACCCCUGCCCAGCAGCAGCAGCUGCCAGAUGGAUGUUGCUCCAAACAUCCAGGUACCUGAUUUUGAACAGCAUACGUUGAUUUGGGGAAUAGGCAGAGAGCAAGGGAAAAUGUCUUGUUGCUUAUGGAAAAAGAAGUAGAGAUGAUGCAAGGCAUAUUACUGAACACACCAUAUAUAUUUCUGUGACCUCAGCCUAAAUUUGCUUCCUCUGCCCCCUUUUCCCUCCUCCUCCCCAGGAAUGUUAAGAGCACUUACAGCUUUUUGUAUGUUCCAGUAAAAAGGAAGUCUCCCUAGGGUAACUACUUAAUAAGGAAAAUAUGAAAAGCACAAUAAAAAUGAUGGGAGAGAUGGAAAAAACCUGACUGGUUUUACUUUUAAUGAUGAAGGAAAAGAACAGCAGGGAAGUAUAGAGCACUAUAUAGGUAAAAGCCUACAAAUUUUUCAGGGCACAUAACACCAAAAGCUUUGGUAAAAGAGUAUGUUGUGCAAUCCCAGCACAGAUUAGCAUGAAGAGCAGCACAGGAAAAGGUACUGUGCCUUGCCCUACAAGUUUUACUGCCUUGCAGCAGAAGUCAUGCACUGUGCUCAAGAGCUACUGCCAGCAUUGUCAUGAUGACCUGUUUGUACUUUCACCGACACAGAACAUUAAGCUGAAGCAGAAAAAGGAAACCAAGAAAAAGAUAAUAAAUACAGCUUCUACAUCAGGAGAUUCAUAAGAUCACAGGCUCAUUUUCAAGCAGUGUGGUUGACUCUCAAUUGCUGCAGAUGUUUAAAGGCUGAGGUUGUGCAGGUAAGCAGACGGAUAUUAAACUUGCAGUUCUCCUAGCCCCCGCUUCUUUAAACUUCUGUUGCAGCCUGUCAGCUAGUUACAGUAAUGGAGAUGAUUAGCAGAGAGAGGGAAAGGGAUGUUUGGCAGAGAGAAUUACAUUGCGAAGCCUUUUGUUCGAGACCCGACUUUGAGGAGGUUCUCCAAGAAUUGAGUCGUUCUGGUGCCGGUGAAACUUAGCAGGCAACUCCAGCCUUUGUAGCCAGGGAGGUGUUUUGCAACAGAGCUCCCUUUCAUUCAGCAGUCCUCUUUCCAAAAAGUGUGUCAACAUCAUUCGCUUCACAUGACUAAUGCCAGACAAGUGAGCUCCUCAUGUCAACACCAAGAAGCAUAGCUCCUCCCAAGCACACCGCUCAGUCCUGCGUUGCACUGGCUUUGAAAUUGAAUUGCUCUGCCGGGCCUUUGGGGUAAGCUUGGAAAUAGCUAUACCAGAUGAUUGAACUAAUGAGGAAAGUAAUAUGAAUUUUUUAAUUGAAGGCCAGGGACUUUGCUAGAAGUGUCGUCCCCCCUGCCUUCCACUGUAAGAUACUGCAAAGCUAGCAGAAGUGCUGCCACUGAUUACAUUUCUCUAAGCUUCUCCCUCCGGGUGGCUCCCAGAAGCUGCUCUAGUUGGAAAGAGCCAGUGACUGCAGGAGGGCAGGAGCCUCUGUAACUGGGUGGGGGG